CUUCGGCUACCACUUACAGAUGGACCCGCGGCGCAUUAGCUAGUUGGUGAGGUAAUGGCUCACCAAGGCAACGAUGCGUAGCCGACCUGAGAGGGUGAUCGGCCACACUGGGACUGAGACACGGCCCAGACUCCUACGGGAGGCAGCAGUAGGGAAUCUUCCGCAAUGGACGAAAGUCUGACGGAGCAACGCCGCGUGAGUGAUGAAGGUUUUCGGAUCGUAAAGCUCUGUUGUUAGGGAAGAACAAGUACCGUUCGAAUAGGGCGGUACCUUGACGGUACCUAACCAGAAAGCCACGGCUAACUACGUGCCAGCAGCCGCGGUAAUACGUAGGUGGCAAGCGUUGUCCGGAAUUAUUGGGCGUAAAGGGCUCGCAGGCGGUUUCUUAAGUCUGAUGUGAAAGCCCCCGGCUCAACCGGGGAGGGUCAUUGGAAACUGGGGUACUUGAGUGCAGAAGAGGAGAGUGGAAUUCCACGUGUAGCGGUGAAAUGCGUAGAGAUGUGGAGGAACACCAGUGGCGAAGGCGACUCUCUGGUCUGUAACUGACGCUGAGGAGCGAAAGCGUGGGGAGCGAACAGGAUUAGAUACCCUGGUAGUCCACGCCGUAAACGAUGAGUGCUAAGUGUUAGGGGGUUUCCGCCCCUUAGUGCUGCAGCUAACGCAUUAAGCACUCCGCCUGGGGAGUACGGUCGCAAGACUGAAACUCAAAGGAAUUGACGGGGGCCCGCACAAGCGGUGGAGCAUGUGGUUUAAUUCGAAGCAACGCGAAGAACCUUACCAGGUCUUGACAUCCUCUGACAAUCCUAGAGAUAGGACGUCCCCUUCGGGGGCAGAGUGACAGGUGGUGCAUGGUUGUCGUCAGCUCGUGUCGUGAGAUGUUGGGUUAAGUCCCGCACCAACGCAACCCUUGAUCUUAGUUGCCAGCAUUCAUUUGGGCACUCUAAGUGACUGCCGGUGACAACCGGAGGAAGGUGGGAUGACGUCAAUCCUCCUGCCCCUUAUGACCGGGGCUACACCGGCUACAUGGAAGAAACAAGGGC
rnacentral:rRNA from 1 species